rnacentral:rRNA from 1 species
UACGUAGGGGCAAGCGUUGUCCGGAAUCAUUGGGCGUAAAGAGCGCGUAGGCGGUCCGGUAAGUCAGCUGUGAAAGUCCAAGGGCUCAACCCUUGAAGGCCGGUUGAUACUGUCGGGCUAGAGUCCGGAAGAGGCGAGUGGAAUUCCCGGUGUGAGCGGUGAAAUGCGCAGAUAUCGGGAGGAACACCAAUGGCGAAGGCAGCUCGCGUGGGACGGUAG